UACGGAGGAUGCAAGCGUUAUCCGGAAUGAUUGGGCGUAAAGGGUCCGCAGGUGGCAAUGUGUGUCUGCUGUGAAAGAAUGAGGCUUAACCUCAUCAAGGCAGUGGAAACUACAUAGCUAGAGUACGGUCGGGGUAGAAGGAAUUCCUGGUGUAGCGGUGAAAUGCGUAGAGAUCAGGAAGAACACCGGUGGCGAAAGCGUUCUGCUAGACCUGUACUGACACUGAGGGACGAAAGCUAGGGGAGCGAAUGGG
rnacentral:rRNA from 1 species